CGCGGGAUGGAGCAGCCCGGUAGCUCGUCAGGCUCAUAACCUGAAGGUCGU
rnacentral:tRNA from 1 species